rnacentral:misc_RNA from 1 species
AAAGUCGUAACAAGGUUUCCGUAGGUGAACCUGCGGAAGGAUCAUUAUGAAUUUUGACGAGUUCCCUUGAUUGGGGCUCUGAUAUUUUCUGUGAACUGGUAUUGGCAUUGUUUUGCUUUCUUUUGAGAGUAGAGCAGUUUCAAUAUGUUUUUGUUAUCUAUAUUUUUUAUUCCAAUGUUUUCUUGUUUUUCCGAGUACACUCUCUUUUAUUGGAGAGCGAAACGAAAAAGAUCAAAACAACAAAACCAAGACAACUUUCAGCAAUGGAUCUCUUGGCUCUU